ACAUGGCCCUGCAGGUGUCGGCUCUGGCCCUUCUCCUGGCUCUUCCGCCUCUGCUGUCUGCCGAGGGAGCGGCACCCAGUCCCAGCCCCACCAAGACUCCAGGCAAGUCCAGGAGGGA